UCUGUUUCCUUCCUUCCUUUGGUUUGUUGUUGUUGUUGUUGUUGUUGUUGUUGUAGUUAUUAUUGUUGUUCUUAUUGAUGUUGUUGUUGUUGGAUAGGACAGAGAGAAAUGGAGAGAGGAGGGGAAGCAGAGAGGGGGAGAGAAAGAGAGACACCUGCAGACCUGCUUCACCUUCGACGCCCCUGCAGGUGGGGAGCUGGGGGCUCAAACUGGGAUCCUUAUGCUGGUCCUUGCGCUUUGUGCCACGUGCGUUUAACCCACUGUGCUACCGCCUGACUCCUUCCUUAUUUUGGAAGUGAUUUUUUUUUCAGAUUUUUUUUUUUGUACUGCCACAUGGGUUAUUGAUGGGGUUCAAUGCUGGCACUACAAAUCCACUGUUCCCAGCAGCCUUUUUUUACAUUUUUUUUCUACUUUAUGUUUCAUUUCAUAGGACAGAGAGAAACUGAGAGGGCAGAGGAGAGAGACAGAUGGACAGACACCUGAAGAUCUACUUCACCGCUUAUGAAGCCUCUCCUAUGCAGUGCUUCCUCUGUGGUGUGGACGCUCAGACCUGGACCCUGUGCACGGCAAGCCCUACCAUGUGAGCUGUCUUCCAGCCCAUUCUGACUGUGUUUGCAGUUGUAAAGAUCAAGCGGCAUUAGCAGAGCCAGGUUUCUCUACAACACUCAGCCUCAUCCUUCUGCCAGGGCAAGCACCUGCUCUGCUUAAGUCCUCAAGAUGCCCUGAGUGCCUGGAAUCCUGGUGUCUCCUGCCAGCAGCAGAGGGAGCCCACACUCUAUCGAAAAGAAGUGAGUUUCUCAUAAUACAAAGCAGAAAACACUAUUAUUUUCUUCCUUGUCUCCUUCUUUCCUCCUUCCUUCCUUCCUUCCUUCCUUCCUUCCUUCCUUCCUUCCUUCCUUUCUUUCUUUCUUUCUUUUUUUUUUUUGUGUGUAUGUGUGUAUCUGCCACACAGUAUGUCCUUAAAGAUAAAGCUUCAGGGAGUCGGGCAGUUGUGCAGCAGGUUAAGCGCACAUGGUGCAAAGCGCAAGGACCAGCUAAGGAUCCCAGUUCGAGCCCCUGGCUCCCCACCUACAGGGGAGUCGCUUCACAAGUGGUGAAGCAGGUCUGCAGGUGUCUGUCUUUCUCUCCCCUUCUCUGUCUUCUUCUCCUCUCUCCAUUUCUCUCUGUCCUAUCCAACAUCA